AUUGAACGCUGGCGGCAUGCCUUACACAUGCAAGUCGAACGGCAGCACGGGUGCUUGCACCUGGUGGCGAGUGGCGAACGGGUGAGUAAUAUAUCGGAACGUACCUUAUUGUGGGGGAUAACGCAGCGAAAGCUGUGCUAAUACCGCAUAAUCCCUAAGGGGGAAAGCGGGGGACCGUAAGGCCUCGCGCAAUUAGAGCGGCCGAUACCUGAUUAGAUAGUUGGUGAGGUAAAGGCUCACCAAGGCAACGAUCAGUAGCUGGUCUGAGAGGACGAUCGGCCACACUGGGACUGAGACGCGGCCCAGACUCCUACGGGAGGCAGCAGUGGGGAAUUUUGGACAAUGGGGGCAAGCCUGAUCCAGCAAUGCCGCGUGAGUGAAGAAGGCCUUCGGGUUGUAAAGCUCUUUUGUCAGGGAAGAAACAGCAGCUCUAACACAGUUUGCGAAUGACGGUACCUGAAGAAUAAGCACCGGCUAACUACGUGCCAGCCGCCGCGGUAA
rnacentral:rRNA from 1 species